AUUGAACGCUGGCGGCAUGCCUUACACAUGCAAGUCGAACGGCAGCACGGGAGCAAUCCUGGUGGCGAGUGACGAACGGGUGAGCAAAGUAUCGGAACGUGCCCAGUCGUGGGGGGUAACGUAGCGAAAGUUACGCUAAUACCGCAUACGAUCUAUGGAUGAAAGCGGGGGAUCGCAAGACCUCGCGCGAUUGGAGCGGCCGAUAUCAGAUUAGGUAGUUGGUGGGGUAAAGGCUCACCAAGCCGACGAUCUGUAGCUGGUCUGAGAGGACGACCAGCCACACUGGGACUGAGACACGGCCCAGACUCCUACGGGAGGCAGCAGUGGGGAAUUUUGGACAAUGGGCGAAAGCCUGAUCCAGCCAUGCCGCGUGCAGGAUGAAGGCCUUCGGGUUGUAAACUGCUUUUGUACGGAACGAAAAGGUUUGGCCUAAUAAGCUGAGCUCAUGACGGUACCGUAAGAAUAAGCACCGGCUAACUACGUGCCAGCAGCCGCGGUAA
rnacentral:rRNA from 1 species